CUGAGCUGAUCGACUGCAUCCUCCAAUCUUUUCACGGGAACAAACGCCAAAGCAGUGACCAUUCGAGCCUUCAAUGAAAACUCUUCAUCGUUCUGAUAUUCCGGCAUCAACCCCAGCGCCUGUACAUGUUUCCUCAUAUUAUUGGCAAGAUGGAAGAAACAUCCAGCUAUCGCGGUUCCAGGAAAACAUUCCCUGAUCGCUGAAAUUGCGGCGAGUUCAAAAUCACAGUGAACGGCAGUUGCGUGUUCACUUGCAACGCCCGCUACGUUUACCCCUGGUAUUGUGGAUGAUUUGGGCACGUAGCGGGUUUCGGGUAGUCGACAGUCGUAGACUCGGGUUGCGUAGACACAGUACAGUACAAGGAUAUGACAAUGUUUAUUUAUAAUUGUUAUGUAUUAACAAGAGCAGUAAUUGUAUUUCACUCCUCCGCUCGAUCCUCUCUCCUCGACUCGUGGACACCGCUAUCGUGGACGCAGCCGGAUCUGCGCUGUCAACCGUCAAACGGAGGUUGUAGGUUUACGGCAGUUGCUAGAAAUCUGGUGAAUUAGUGUGAUGAAGUUAUUUACAAAUGAGAUGAGAUUAUUUACAAUGAAUGAUGUGUUGCCUGGGAGCUAUGGUUAUGUUUUCCUCGUGCAGGAAGGGAGGUCUACGUGAAGCGUAAACGUUCUGGUCGGGGUUUGAAUAAGGGAGAGUUCUCAGGGUUACCGAGGUACUGGUAGAAUGGUAAUUUCAACGACGGUGAUAAACUCGACCAUACGUUGGGCUAACAGGAAUGGAUUACGGGAUGGGAUUGCGGAAGGACUACAACGACGGUGAUAGACUCGACCAUACGUUGAAGCAAUUAGAUGGAAUCGGGUUGUUAUUUGCGGGGUUGAUACAGCGACGGUGAUAUACUCGACCAUACGCUGAAUCGGAAUCUGGAAGGGUGGUAGAAAGAACAAUGUUGCAGGAUCUGGGAUCUGAUCUCCAUUUGGCUGUGCUCUUGUUUAUAUACACCUUACCGUUGUAGUGGGGUAAGGAUAGUGGCAGGGAUAUCUGCGCAGUCAAAUGUUUAUAUGGAGUGCUCCUGCCCUCUCUUGCCCAAAAUUCGCAUAAUUUUUAAAAGAUUUUAUACGAAAUCUGAAUUAUAAAAUUACUGAAUUUUUUUAAUCCUUACACACUUUACAAAAAGAUAGUGUUAUCAGAAAUUGUAGAUCACAAAAUUCGACACAACUUUGUUAUACAUUACUUUUUUGUG